CACUAUGCUGUACAUGUGUAACAUAUAAAAUUAUAUAUCAACUAUCCUUCAAUUUGAAAAGACUAAAAACAGACUAUUUUGUCUGAAAAAAUAUAUAAAUGGAGACAUAAAUCAUGUUAAUAUUUGAGAAGACUGAUAUUAAUGACAUUUCCCUAAAUUAAUAUAAAAAAUCAUGAACUUGGAGAACAGACUUGUGGUUGCCAAGGGGGAGGAGGAGGGAGUGGGAUGGACUGGGAGUCUGGGGUUAAUAGAUGCAGACUGUUGCCUUUGGAAUGGAUGGGCAAUGAGAUCCUGCUGUACAGCACUGGGAACUAUGUCUAAUCACUUCUGAUGAAUCUAUACCUGCAUAUGUAACCGGGUCAACAUACUAUAGAGUAGAAAAUUGACAGAACACUGUAAACCAGCUAUAAUGAAAAAAAAUUCAUAUAAUUCAAUUUUUUAUCUCUCUAAUUUAUUUUUAUGCAAAUAAAGAUGUUGAUACCAAAAUUUUACAAGAAUGAUUGAAGAGUCAGGAAAAAAAAAAUCCAAUGGAGAAGUAGAGAGAAAUUCACUUUAUCAAAUAUGAUUGUUUAUCAUAUAAAUAAAUAUGAUUUAUUCAUCAAUAAAUAAUUUAUUAAAAUGAUAUAGUAUUGACACAAGGACAGAUGAACCAUGAAAAAACGAGUGUUUAGAACCAGACUUACACAUAUUUAAGAACCAGGAGUAUGAUAAAAGGCAUUAAAAGGUGGUGGAAAAAAAAAUGGAUUAAUUCAUGAAUGAUUCUGGGGUAACUGGCUAUCUAUGUGGGGAGAAAAGAGAUAAGAUUAAAUCUUUUCUUCAAAAUUAAUGAAAACAUAAAUUUUAGAAGGUUUUAAGCCCUAAGGGUAAAAGCAUAAUUCUGAAACUAUUACAAGGCAACAGAGAAAAAUAUCUCAUGACUUCAGGGUAGGGAAAGAUUUUCUUCAUCAAAACACAGGCAGUACAUGUAAAAGAAGAGAUUAAUAAAAUUGAACACAUUAAAAAUUAAAACAUGUGUUCAAGGAAAACCAGCAUACUCGAAGUGGUAAGAUAAGUAAUAGAUAGGGAGAAUUUGUCAAGCAAGAUAAAGCAACAGUUUUUAAAAUGUUUGGAAUGAUACCAAAUGAUACCAGGAGAGCUCUGGUCUCUGAGAGAGGCAGGUUGGAGCAAAGAGGCUUUAGGAGAGAGAGAGAGAGCCAGCAAAUUUUGCAACUUGAAGACUAUUAAGUCUGGAAGAUGGCUAUGCCUGGGCAAUCUAUUCUAUUAUUUUCUCAUUUUUGUAUAUUUGGAGUAUUUCAUAAGAGAGGAAAAACCUCCUACGUCUAUAACAAUCCUCCUGACCUCUUUGCUACCCAUGUACUUGGACACAUUCUUUUGUUAGCUUCUGCUUCUGUGGACAUAAGGAUUAAAAACUGAAAUUCAGUUCUUAAGUUGUUCACAGUGGUGGGUAGAGUUUUCCACACCAUUCUAGUACCUGGUAUACAGCAGGUGCUCAAUGUGUGCUUAUUGUAUUGAAAUAAUUUCUGCAGUUCCCAUAAUUCCCUGUCUUGUCCUUCAGACCGAGGGCUCCCAAAGCUCCCUGAACUUCCCCAUUCCACCCAACACUCAUCAGACAGGACCAGAAAUAUUCAGUUAACAGCUACUUAGCUCUGUGAGGGCAGGAAGAGCAUCCAUGGGCUAUGGUAUCCCCAGGAGACAGCACAGUGCCUGACACUUAUUAACUCAAAGAACUUCGUUUAUUUAUAAUUCACAGUGUAAAAAUCCCAGUAUCCCUUCUUCACUAUUGCUAACUACCCACAAUUAGCCCAUUCCCACCACACCACAGACCAAAUGUGAACCAGGCUGCCUUGCCACUUGCCUUCGAGAGCAUUAUUCCAGGUCUGCUCCUCCCACCUCCUUUUCCCUGAACUGUGCUGGACUGAGGACCACCUUUGCAAACUGUAUUCAGGUUACCCUUCAACUUUGGUGACCUGCUUUUGUACUUAACUCCUCUGCCCUUGCUUUCAGAUGACCCUGGAAUCUUUUUCAACCUCCUUCCUUUGGCCACCCAGGCAGAAUAAUUUGGUUUGAGGAUAAGUUGGUGCUUGGCUUGGUUUUAGGAUUUGGUUGCCUGGAUCUGACAACCUGCCUAUAAGGAAACUACCACAGAGCCGCUAGACGGAGCAGGCCCUACAAGCAAAACACUGAGAAAGAGCUCAGAGUCCCUCCAACUAGAAUCAACCCCAAAUGGCCAGUUUCCAACUACAGGGAAACUGCCUGGUGUCCAGCAAUGAUUUGGGGGCUGCCUGAUCUGGUCCUCAGGAGCAGAGAUGAUCCCUGGUGGUCACACAGUAACUACAGGUCAGGGCUUAACAGUGAUUGCCAGUGCUGAACCCCCUGUGCUGGACUUUCUCUUUAGAAAUGGAUUAGAUUGGAUGCUUGUUUUGUUUUCUUCCCAGUAGCUGAAGUUCAGACACUCCCAUCUCCUAGCACUUAACAUUCCUACCCUGGGCAGCACUACUGCUAUAUAUCACUUACACUCCCUGCUGACAUUUUAUGGGGAUUUUAAAGCAGCAGGUGUGUGAGAUAGAAGCCAUUGUCAAUCAUUGUGUUAAAAAUGCUCCACCCUUUCAAACGCCUAAUCAGUGGGUUUGAUGGGUUGCAGCUGGCCACUAACCAGCCAAGAUUUGAAGCUUUCAAGGCAAAUAGUAUUGCCCCACUUUGGGAAGGGAGAGGGCUGAAGGCUAGGGAAAAGAGUAGCUGAGAAACCCAAGCCAGGCCAAGGCACUGUAGCCUCAUGGUAAAAUUGGCAGGAGUGCUUAUCCACCAACAGGAAAUCAGCAUAAAUAACAAGCAUGCAUGGUCUUGCCUCCAUAAUAUUGCUUUUUGUGUAUUUAUCAUGGAAAAGGUUCUAUUUUGAGGAAAGUAGGCUUAAGCACUGAUUGAGUUCCUAUUUAGACAACCUGAGGGAGUCCCUUCUGAGAGUCUUGUCUCUUCCGAGAAAUCUUACAAGAGAUGGGGGUAAGUGACCCACUUCAUAUUAGGGUCCAGGUAGGUUGUGUGAUUGUAUCUUAAGUGUGAGUUCUUUCCACAUAUCAGGUAUCCUCACUUUUUUUUUUUUUUGGUAAAGUUUUUGGGGAAAGUCCCAUAAGCAAUGCCUGGGGCAAUAAUUCCUCAGCCAUUUAUCAACUGCAAUAGCCCACUUCAUAUUCACUUUUUAAUUUCAAUGACUUAACGCAGUCUAAAUCUUUAAUAAAAUGCUCUUCAAUUGUACUUUAAGGUAUCUUACUGCAGUUCCAAAUUCUGCCUAUUUCUAGAUACAACAAUUGUACCCAAAAUCAGGAUACCAUGCUUUAACUCAAGCCAAGGAGCACUGCAGUGUGUGGCUUUGGGCCUUUUUAACCAUCACAGGAUGUCUACAAGACACUUCAUAGGGAUGCACUGAAUAAAUUUGGCUCCAUGUAACCCUAGUUUUGAGUUUGCUUCUCAGACAUUGGCUUUUCAUUCUGUCCAUCCUUGAACUUCCUAUCUCCUUCCGUCAACUGCUCCUGACCUCAGUUUGUCCACUCAGCACUUUUUGUGCAUGCUUGUUGAUGACAUGUCCAUGACCCCAACAUCUGACCUCAAGUGUAUAUCCUGUUUUCAUGUUUGAACAGGCUCUGGUGGUUCAGGGGAGCUUGUUUAUGAAUCUUAAAUCCCCACUCAAUUAAUAGCCUCUGGAAGUAAAGCCAUACUUCACCUGUAGUAAGUCAAAUACAGAGUGGGUUGUCUCGUUAAUCUCUGAAUGAUCAGUCCUUGGACUUCUAUUAUAACAUUUAAUAGGACCCGACCUCAGUGAGCUCACAAGCUGGUACGAGAGCAAGUUAUCUUUAACAACCAUUAAAAAAAAAAAAAUACCACAAAGGGAGUGCAUACAAAGGGCAAGGGAAGAGACAAGACAAAAUGCAAAGAGCCAGAACAUUAUGGUUCAGGAAGAGAUUAAUGUUCACAAGGGGAUCCACGAGAUUGCACUCAGAACAGGUGGUAUUUAUAAAGUACUACGAAGACUAAUGCUUCCACUAACAGAAGAAGAGCUGAUGCUGAGAAGACAGGUAGAACAUAAGCUCUGUAGGACUUUGUAGUCAACGUUGCCAAUAUAAGGACAAAGUUGAAAGGAGAAAACUCUACAGGACACAGAACUUCAAUCUUUUACCCAUACUCUAUUCAAACCCCUCUCUGGCUUCUUCUCUGCCCAUUGGGUGAAAUCUAGCGCAGUUCUUUUGACUCUGCUUGCUCAUUCUCUUUCAUCUCAGUAAUGAAAACAACCGACCCUGUGCAAUGGCCAAAAAUACCAAAUUUCAUUGCAAGUCAAAACAUCUUUCCUUUUGCAGAUUUGGGAGGUUAGUAAUAUUUUUUUUUAUGCCUGGACUCCUAUUUUCCUUCUUCCCAGCUUGCUAGCCCAGGGUAUAGGGAGGUGUGGGCAGAGGCACAGGAAGGAGGAGGGAGAAGAAAAGGUCUUCCUAGAUUGAGACAGUUGUGAUCAUCCACUGGUGCCCUCUGAGGUUGGUUAAUGUUCAGAGCUGACCUUUUCUCUCUAAUGGCCUGAUCUGUGGACCCUUAACUAAUUGUCUUUGGGGAACAUUUGACUACACCUCUGUUAACAGGAAGUAUUAGUUACCUAUUACCACAUAGAUACAUAUAAAAUACCCUUAAAACAAAACUAUUUAUUACCUCACAUUCCUGAGCCCAGGAAUCCAGGAUCAGUUUAGCUGGGUGGUUCUGGCUCAGGGUGUCCCAGAAAACUUUGCUAGGGAAUCAGUCAUCUGAAGAUUUGACUAGGAUGGAAAAAUAUUUCUAAAAUGGCUUAAUUAACACAGCUGUUGGCUUGAGGCUUCAGUUCCUAGCUAUGAGAUACUCUCCUUAGGAUUGCUCCAGUGUCCUUAUAACAUGGCAGGGGGUUUCUUAUAACACCCUCCUUCACCCCAGCUUGAAGUCCUUUGGAGGAAAGUCCCUUUUAAGGCAACCUCCAUCUGAUCACUCCAAAAGAAGAUUCACCUGGUUUACAAUACCAAAGUAGUCCCCAAAGUAGCCACUUCUCUUUGCUUCACUACUAGGAAAUAGCAAAACCUCUUGUCCUUAAGAUUCUUGAGAUGUGGGUCAGACAUGAGGUCCAGGAGCACAUACUUAUCUCUUAAAUGGACUCUCUCCAGCCUUCCUCGCUAGUCUUGGGAUGAAUAAACAUCAUACACAGAAGAGGUAGGGCAGGGAAAAUGCCAUGACAUUAUAAAAACUUUCUUCUCAGCCCAGUACCCACCUCAAAGAUAUCAAAACAGUUGACAUUGAAGAGGUCAGGAGCCAAUAAAAACACUUAGAUCACACCCUUUGAAAUGUCUGUAUGAAGUUUUUGCCACCUACUUUGUGCUAUUGAAAGCUUCAUCCAAAAGUGAGAGUACACAUUCUGUUUAAACAUUUUGUUAUACAAGGGUAAGGAUUUUGUCAGUGCGAGUGUUAGCUCUACUCUGCAUUUUGAAAGGUGUUUGUCUUUGGGUUUCCCAAGACAGACCCAAAGGCAAGGACUUGACUGCAAGCGGUUUAUUUGGGAAGUAAUACCAGGAAAUAGUUGUAGGGAAAUGGAAGAAAAUAAAGGAGCAAAUAAAUGCUGUAUUAUAAAAUUAUUUACUACUGUGGGCAAUGGGAGCUGAAUCCUCUGAGAAAUUCCUGGAAACAGCAAAAAAUAUACCUACCGUUGUCCACUACCAAAGGACAAAAAUGCCUGUGUAUUUAUAUACCAACUUCCUGUUCAUCAUUGAUUGAGGAGACUGCUUUCUGGGCAUUAAUUAACUCUCUAAAACUUCUGGUUUGCACUACUUGGAGGCUGAAUACCAAGCUAUCCCUGGUUGGGUGGCCAACCAUCUCAGUGCUCAGUAUUGGAAGGUUUCCCAGAAUGACCAUUUUUAUUGCUAAAACUAGGACAGUCCCAGGCAAACUAAGAUGGUUGGCCACCCUAUCCCUAGGUAGAGGGUUUCAGGCAUUGGGAGAACAGACUGCCCCAUGCAGAGUGAGUGCCAAGGGGAUGUAGACUGGGUAUCAGUAGUAUCUGUGAUAUCAAGUGACCUUGGAAAUUUAGAAAUAAGUGUUUUGUCCUCCCACAGUUUUUGUCCUUGAAUCAACCCCUGCCUGCUCCAAAUACAAAGACCAACUCUAUAAUGCCUUGCUUCAGAUAUCUUGGCAGAAACUGGAAAUAGAAGCAGCUAGAAUCAAUGUCUUUCCUUACUUUUUUUAAAGGCUGAACUCUACAGAAAACAGUUGUCUGUAGGGGAAAGAAGAGAGAGCAAGAACAAAGAAAGGAGAGAUUCUGGAAAAAAAAAAAUCAUCAGAUCCCUUUAUAAGCAAGUCUUAGCACACUGCUCAGUUGCAGAACCCAUAGAGAUGGAUUCAACAAAAGUGGACUAUAUUCUAGGCAUGGAAAAUACUGCUUUCACAGAGCUUAAAUUCUAAUUGGGGCAAGUGGGGUGGUGAGAGGAAUAGAAAAUAUCAAAUAUUAAAAUAUAAGCUAUGCUAUACAGAAAAUAAACCAAAAUGAUGUGAUAGAGGGAGAGUGAUUACUUUAUAUUGGGUGGUCUCAAAGCUUCCUCUGAGUACAUAGUUGAACUUAGACCUUAAUUUUAAAAAUGAGCCAAUCAUGGGAAGAUCUGAAGAAAGAUGAACAGAGAGGACAGAAUUUAGCCUUAGCAUUUAGGCUUAGCUCACCUAAGACUUUAGGAGCAUUCUAUAAUCCUUAGGGGAGGAAAACCCCAAUAAUAAUUAAGACAUAUUUUUACCAACCCAGUUGGAUAGGCACUCAAACAGAAUAAACUUGCUCUAAGGGGAAAAAAAGACAAUAAUAUAUUGUUUUGCAUCCCUGAGUGUACAAAAUGCUUCAUACUAAGGAUGAAAAGGAGAAAACUACAUAUGAGAAAGAUGAAAACAUGUAGUGACAGAUACGUUUAAGCAGCCUUAGUGGAUUAAUUUCACUAAAUUGAAUGUGAUCUCCACUAGCUCACUAUAAACUUAGUGUUGUCAUCCCCAAUUCACAUGUAAAGAAAAUGAGGAUCAAAAUAACAAAGAGACUUGCCCCAAUAACAGAGUUAUUGAGUAUCGCAUUUGGAGUUAAGACGCAAUCUCUCUACAAAAGUCAUUUUCCACCAUUUUGCUCACUUUCCUCUAUCAACCAUCACACUGAGCCUCUCUGGGUCCCAGCUUCCUUUUAUCUACUUGUCUAUUCAUCUAAUAUUGAGCACCUACCCUAUGUAAGGUUGUGAGCUGAGGGCUGUUGAGGGCCAAUGAGGGCAGGUAAUUACACAUAAAUAGUAUGCAGUUCCUACCCACAAAUGAGCUUGAAAUAUGGCAGUGUACAUAUUCUAAAACACAAAUAAUUUUUCCAAGUUAUGAAGGAAGGGUAAAGUUAGGGUGCAGGGAGAUAGUCAGGGGUUAACAUGCUCAGUGUAAGUAAGCACAGUCUACUAUGUGUGAGCUUCCCAGUCUCCAGACUGCACUUGGAGCCAUUUGUGAAAUUUUUUCCCUAGUUAUGGGAUGCAUAGGAGGGUCCUCUUAGGUGUGGCAGUCAAUGUAAGCUGUGCUGAAAGCUACUUUUGAAUAUGCAUCCUGGGUGCAAGGAGAGUUAAUCCAUAGUGGUACUUCCAGUGGCAGGAGGAUGCUCUGAGAAACUUUUACCUACCUAAUAUUUAAAGUUAUCUUACUUUGAUUUGAGCCAUUUUUCCAGUCUAAUCUCCUGUUAAUCUCUUCCUUGAACCCUAAUUUUCAAGUCAACCCAGUUUUAUACUUCUCCAUAAUAGUAUCCUAAAUUUAUCUUUCUUUCAUGCUUUCCUCUUUUGCUAAAACCAAUUCAUCCUAUUCUCUGAAAGAGAUGAUGCAGCAUUCUUGAUGAUUCAGCUGGGAUUCCUAUAUUCAGAGAGAGCAAGGGUUGAGGUGGGAAUGGGAGAGGGGUGCCUAUAAUCCUAAAUUCAAAAUUUUAGAAACCUGAGUUCAAUCUCCUACAAUGAAGCUUGCAUGGCUACAUGACUUUACAAAGUGAAAGACCUCACCUCUCUCUGGACCUUCAGUUUGUUCAUCUUAAAAUAUAGAAUGAGACUUGCCUACCUGGCAGGGCAGCUACAAGAUUCAAGAUAAUGAUUGCAAAAUGCUUUGAAAAUUGUGAAGCAAUCCUUUAUGCAUGUGUUUGCUUAUGCAAACGUAAGGAAUUGUCAUUAGUAUUCAGGAUCUUCUUAGCUGAUAUGUUUUUGCAAGAGUUUGGCUAGAAUCAUGAUUAAGAUAUGUCCCAGCUGAGUAGCUUCUUCCACUGCAGCUUCAUCCAAUAGCCACAAAGGGGAUAAAACAGGCCUUUUGUGAUUGUUUUUCACAUAGUUGGAAGCAUUUCAAAGCAUCGGAUUUUUUUUAGUGAGCUCUGCUUUAUUUGCAUUAAAUCUAGUUCCAUCCAUGCCAAAGAAAUACUAUAAACUUAUGAUUCCAAAGUUAAUAGUUUAAAAUAAAAAUAUAUAUCCUACAAUUUUUUUUAAAAUUCAGGAUUUGAAAAGAAUUCAUAUAUCACUGACAAUACCGAUGAAUCACAUUCAAAGGGAGAAAGGAGGAAGCAAUUUUGGUUAAACAGGAAGUUUUUCUAGGCUGAUAAUGAAGUGUAAAGCUUUCUCCUUGACUGGCAGAAAAAUAUAACUAGAUCCAGUCAAUUAAUCCAUCAAUAAAUCCAUGAACAAAUAAACAUAGACUAGAAAGAAAAAAUAAUGUAGAACUUGAAGGAGAGAUUACUACCUGAAGGACACUGGAGAAGGAACAGUUUAGGGAAGAGAAUGAUGAAUUCGCUUUGGAACACAUUGAUUUUCAAGUGCCUUUGAAAGUGGAGUUUGGAUAUGCAAAGCUAAACUCAGAAGCGAUGAGUCAAGCUUGAAAUAAAAAUAUGGCAGACAUCGCCAGAUAGCUGUUGAAACGCUGGGAGGGGAGUUGAUGAGUGAAGGGUAUGAAUGCAGCAUGGAGGAAUCAGGACAAAGACGUGUAUCCAGCAAAGAAGGCUGGAAAGAGGCAGCCAGAAAUGUGGUAAGUAAGUGAAUGUGGUAUUACAGAGCCAAGGGAAAAGCAAACUGAAACAGAGGGCCAGUCUGAUGAAUCUAGUGUCAGGAGAACUAUUGAUAGUGGUUCAUUGGAUUCAGCAACAUGAAGGUAACUCAAGUGAGUGUCACCGUGGUGGAAUUAUAGGGCAGAAGCAGAUUGGAAGGGAUUGAAGAAAGAAUGAAAAGUAAAAUGGGGACAGAAGAGAUAACUUUUUACAAGAAAUUCAGCAAUUAGGGGAAGGGGAGAAAGGUAGGAGAGGAAUGUGGGGUAUUGAGGGUCUGUUGAUAAAACUGGAAGAAACUGGGGCAUGGGUGAUUUUUGACAGAAGCUGUGAACUGGAGAUGGGCACUUGCCGUCUGCCUCUACAUGGACUGACUCAUGAGCCACUGUAACUGCUGACCCAGCAUCCCCAGAAAGGAGCUCAGGCUGGAGAUCAGAAGAGAGGUACUUCGUGCUCUAAGAAAAUGGGCAGAACAGUUCUUUAGGUAGCUAUCUUUAGGAGAAGAUUUUAUGAACCCAAUUCUUACAUUUCCUUGUGUUUAGAAAAGCACUAAAAUCCUUAAUGGUGAUAUCUGCUGCUCAUGACUAGCAGUAACCUUCAUGAACCUAGCAGCGACCGUCUGUAAAAUGUGUGCUUGAUUGCAUGUUCCUGCCCCUUCACCAAAAUCACAUAUUGUAUUGACAGUCACCCUUGCCUCUUCCAAGAGGUAUUUCAGAACUAUCUGAAAUUUUGCCUCCAGGGCUAUAGUCCUCAUUUUGCCUGCUCCCCCCUACCCCAUUUUGCCUGCCCCCACCAAAAAAAGAAAAAAAAAAAAAAAACCCUCAACUCUCAGCUUUUAGGUUGUGCAUAUUUUUAAGUCAACAAAGCAAUCCAGCUGAGAGGGAGAAGUUAAAGACAGCUUAAAGACAAGCAGGAAAGAGGCAGAGACUUCUAAGAAGACAAAAGAACAUGUUUACCAUAACACAGAUCAGGACCACUAUGCCUUUUGAUGGUGGAAGGAAGCUACCUGCAGAGGAUGAUACCGAACUCAAGCUACUUAAAGGAUGAGUGAAUUCUUCCAGGCAAGAGAGUAGAUAAAAGUAAGGCAUUCUACCUCUAGUGUUCUUUUCGACACACCACUGGGGCCUCUCAAAUUCGCCUGGACCGAGUGGAAGAAAGUGCUCUUGAGGAACAUUUUGUGGAGCUGUAAUUUUUCUAAAUUCCGUUUUUAUAAAUAAAAUUUGGGUUUACUUAUACAAGGCUUAUAUUGUGUGUCUCCACCCAAGGUGUAUUUCCCAUCUGGGUUAUUUCCUUUAGAAAAUGUGCAGCUAAUGGUAGUGAGUCUUAACUCCCAAGUGUCUGCAACUAUUUACAUGAUGCAAUGGGUUGCCUUACGCCCUAUCACAUUUCCUCUGUCGUGCCUAAGUGAAUAAUUUCCUUGUAAUCAUGAUGCUGCCUAAUUAGAACCUGUCUAUUUCAGCUGAAAAGGAGAACUUGGCCUUUUAGGUGGUCAGGACUGAACUCACUUGAUGAAAGACAUAUUUUUCAGUGGUGAGAGUUUGGGGGUUAGGUCUGGAUUGGGAAGGAGGCUUAAGAUCCAGAAUAUUCUGUAUGAGGUACUAUCCACAAGGAAAAAUGAGCUAUUAAAGAUAAGAAAGAUGUACUUACUUGUUCAGCGCUAACUGUGGGUACUAACCAAAAUGUAAUAAACAUGAGAAGAAAUUCAAUGCACAAAUAAGUACAUGGAAUGAUGUUCAAACUCUCUAGUAACUUAAGAAAUGCUCAUUAAAUUACAGUAAUAGUUUCACUGUUUAAUUAGCAAUAAUUUUUUUUAAAAUACUAGUAACUAAAGCUAGAGAAUAUAUGGUGAAAGCAGUACCUUUGAUCAUUCUUGGCAUUAGAGUAAAUAAACAUAAUUCUUUGCAAAAUGAUCUGGAACCAAAAAAAAAAAAGAGAUAUAAAAACAUUUACAUAUCUUGACACAGAAAUUAUUCUUCAUGAAAUGUAUCUUUAAAAAACAACCAAAAAGAAGAGUUCCUAUUGUGGCUCAGUGGUAAAGAACCCAACUAGUACCCAUGAGGAUGCAGGUUGGAUCCCUGGCCCCACUCAGUGGGUUAAAGGAUCUGGCAUUGCAGUGAGUUGUGUUGUAGGUCGGAGACCUGGCUCGGAUCUGGCAUCACUGUGGCUGUGGCACAGGCUCCGAUUAGACCCCUGUCUUCCUGGGAAAUUCCAUAUGCUGCACUUGCAGCCCUAAAAGAAGAGGAAAAAAAAAUAGAUUGAAUUUUAUUUUACAUACUGGAGUUGAAAGCAUCCUGAUUUUCUGUAACUCAACUCAAUUUCUGACUCUGACACCUAUUUGAUUGUUCUAGAAAGUUGAAUCUCAGUUAUUGGGGUUUUCAUAAAUAUGGGCUUGUAUCAGGGUUCCAGGAUCACUUACAAUGCUUAAGCUGCUCAGAACUGGGGAUAGGUCAGCCUUCAGUAACCAUCACCCCACCACCAAGGUGCCCUGCAGCUCAGCCUCUCUGUUGCUUCUGUGUCAUGUGUGAGGGAAAGGGAUCAUCAAUAAAUCUGAGGACUCUUUUCACAGCCCCACACCAUGCAUACCCUUCUGGGUAGGAUCUUGCCACCUUGGCCACCUUCCUACAUUAUUGAUGUUCCUGAUUACACGGUUUUCUCUCUCUCCCCACUUCCUCUCAUCCCAGGGGGUUGGGGAGAUACCCUCCUCCACAAAAAAAAAGAGGAGAGGAGAAUGGAUCCUACUCUUACUCUGUUCUCUAAGACACUCUGCCUUUCCGCCAUCCCCUGGCUGCUCUCUCUUUUCAGCCUAUCAGCACCCACAUUUCCACUUCAAAGUUUUGAAAACAAAAGUCAAGGAUAAAAGGAUUUUAUAGAGGGCUAUGCUUUUACCCCAAACCCAAGCCCCCUCUAGGCUGGAGUAAGAACAUUCUAUCUUGUGUUGGAUGAGGGGAGGCGGCAUGGAUCAUUGAAAAGAGUAAUAUCUCAACAGGAAUUCCUAUCAUGGCUCAGUGGAAAAAAAAUCUGACUAGCAUCCAUGAGUAUGCAGGUUCGAUCCCUGGCCUUGCUCAGUGGGUUAAGGAUCUGGUGUUGCUGUGAGCUGUGGUGUAGGUUUCAGACACAGCUCAGAUCCCUGCAUUGCUGUGGCUAUGCUAUAGGCUGACAGCUGCAGCUCAGAUUCAACCCCUAAGCCUGGGAACUUCCAAAGCCUGGGAACUUCCAUGUGCCAUGGAUGCGACCCUAAAAAGACAAAAAAAACCCUCAAAAUAUUAUCCUGACAUAUAUGCAUGAAGAUUGCCAUGACAAAAAGAAAUGGCAAAGGAAUUGGGAAAAAAAAAAAAAAAAAACUAUCCAACAAUGGGAUGUGAUCAUGUAACCAGUCACCAAAUCAGGCUUUAAAAAAAAAUUACCUGAAUUUAAUCCUCAUAAUAAUCUUGGAUUGAAUUUCUCAUGUAAGCAUGAGAAAUAAUAAUAAUUAUUUUGAAGGCAUCAACCUGGAAACAUAUUUCUAUAAUAUCUACUAAUCUCUGAUUAUAUUCAGACAUAUUUUACAUAAUCACAAAAUCCAAAGCUCACUAUCAAAAAUGAAAAUGUCCAAUGUAUUUAGGUGGUGGGAUUUUGUGUGAAUUACUUUUAAGAUAAGGAUUAUAUAACAAUAUUAAAAAAAAUAAAAACUAGAGGGAAAAUAAUUCCUUCUAGAUUUGGAAUAAGAAAUGACAAAUAUCCUUGUGGAUUUUGCCUCAGAGGGAAUUGUUAAGAUUCAGUUCCAAGUAUUCAAAGUUCUUCCAGCAGCUGCCACUGUCAAUGAGUUGAUAUUAUGAAGACGGUCUCUCAAAUUAAGUUUCUCUAAUUCACUGAGACCUAUUCUCUGCCUCUCCAGAUCCUGUCAAUCCUUUAAAUGCUAGAGAAGUUCAGAAUAAAAAAUAAUUUGGAAAGAAUAGUCAAUGAGGCCUCUGAUAAGUGGUGAGCAGUAUGGCCCAUGUGACAAAGCAUUUGUCUCUAAAGAAGGAAAAAAAUCAGUCUUGUUGAGCAUCUUCUACGUUCCAGACACAGGGGUAGAAAGUUUACCAUCAUUAUCACACUUAAUAGACUCUGUUGGUUUCAUUUUAGUGAUGUGAAAACUGAGGCCCAGAAAGGUUAAGUGAUUUGCCAAAUGCCACUCAAUGACUAAGUCAGAAUCCAGACUCAGGUCUGGCUGAGCCCAAAGCCCUAAUUAUUUUCCAUCACAUUGCUUCUCCUCAAAGUGGACUCUCAUUGGCAAGGCCAAUCUGUCUGCCUGAGGUAAUAUUUUAAAAACAUAAAAAGUUUCAUUAUCAUCAUAAAUUAGUGGAAAUACUAAACAAUGUGCAAUUCUUAUCGGAAAGCAGUGAUACCAUGGACCAAUAGCAUUUCCUAAAAGCAUAGUCCAGGAAGUAAGUGGCCCCUGAAAGAAGCAUUCCAUGGCCAAAUAAUAUGGGCAGAUGCUAUAUCCUACUGGCCUCUUUUGGAGAUUCACAGUCCAUUGAAAGGCUAUGAGUAGUUAGAAAAAACUUUUUAUUUUUUUAAUCCAGUGGUUCCUAGUCAUAGAAUCCUUUCCAUCCUAAUACUCUUAUGGCUCCUGACUGAGUUGCAGAAACCCAUCAAAGACCAUGGAGGUCAUCUCCGGGGUUAAAGGACACCACUUUCUGGGAAAGAGGGGUAUUCUGUAAGACACGGAGUGGGGGACAGCUGUGCUCAGUGAGAGGAUCACACUAGGAGAAAGGGAUGUUCUCCUCAUCUGAGCAGAACCAGCAAGACCUCAGCACAGUGAAGUCUCUAGGAAAUGUAACUCCCCAUCGGCCCAGAAAAAGCCUGUAGCUUUGGAAACAUCACAGACAGGCAGCACUGAGGCAUGGCACAGUGGUGCCCAGCAAUGAUAAGAGGUCAUCUGGUGGUUUCCAAGCCACACCCCUCAAUAAGGGCAGUUAGAACAAGAGGGGAAGCCUAUGCUUGGCCCAGAUCAGGGACACAAUCAAUGCUAAAUGGCACAAUGCAAAGUUUGCUUAAAUGUCCUCAAGUUCCUCCUGUGAUGCAGGAAAGAGAUGGCAAACUCUGCAGGGUUUAACUAAGCAAGAAUUUAAUGAGGGACUUUUUACAGAUAGACAGAGAGAGUUAAGGGAAUCAGCAAUGGUUGGGGAGGCACCGAGGGGUCAGCCACUGCAGGGAGCAUUUUCCACCCCUGGGUCUGAAGGCAGAAGGGGAGAAAGCAGUGUCAUCAAGCCACAGAAGAGGGCCCAUCUGAUAGGGGAUGAGAACAGAAGGGCCAGCCCAGCGGAAAGGUAUUGGGGAUGUGCUAAUAAGUCUGCAGAAGCUGAUGGGAGAAAGAGAUGAAAAAUGUGGAUAAUUAUUAUAAAGCAGUCAUAAUCUAUAGCCAUAGACUAGGCAGGACUAGAGACUCAAGAAUUACAGUGAAAAACUCAAAAAUCUUAGAAUUUUAAAAUCUAGAAAAUCACAGUUAACAUGGAAAGAAACUAUAUUUGGGUAAAAUCAAGGCUCCCCUUUCCAUUUCUGUGGCUAUUGCAUUUGCCUCCCACUCAUUUAUGCAAAGCUUGCUGAGUUAGUUUAUUUGUGUUGCCUUCUUUUCAGCGUUCCUCAGAUGUGACACUUGAAAACUGUGGUGGUGGGUUUAUUUACUUGAAUCUUUGCUGUGGAUGAGCCCGCCCACUACAUGUGGGGAAAGGUUUAUGCCUUAGGAGGAGUGCUUCUACCCCAGCUAAAUAGAAAUAGGCUAUCAGCUCACCCCACCCCUGGUACUGAGUCCAAGUCAUUCCAGGAACACCCAAGGAACUGUUGUUCUUGGGGCUUGGGUCCCCGUGUCCUUCUCAAAAAUGUUCUUGGAAACCACAGGGAUGCCUGGAUGAUGGCCCAGAAUGUGUGGAACAUAGGGCCGAGGAUUCUGCUGACCAAAAAUGGAUAAAUAGAGUCAGACGUGUCUCUGGGAGUGGAACCUGCAUAGAGAAAAGAGAGACUGAAAAGGUGAUAGCCAUGGCCAAAGCCACUACCACCCGUAGGGCUAAAGAGACACAGGGAGAAGACGCUGCUUCCAGAGCUCCAUGAAAGCUAGAAUGCCAGCCUAGUGGGAGCUUGGACCAUAAAUAGGAUUAUCCAGUCGCAGCUAGGUACAGAUGCACUGAAGGCAUUGCUAGAGAGGCUACUCAAAGCAGAGAGAAGGGGAAAGAAAUACCCUGGCUCAUCUUCUCAUUCUGCCCUCUAAUCUUCCUCAAGCUGGUCUGAAGCCAGGUGGCAAUUAACGUUAGAAAGUUUAUUCCCCUAUGAUGUAGAGCAAGAGUGAGAAAAGGGGUGGGAUGAAUGUUAAGAUCAAACAGGCAAGUUAUCACACACCAUUCCACGCAGAUGUUCAUCCGCCGCACCUCUGAACUGGUCCCGUCGGUAUUAUCAGUGACCUUCCUAUUGCCAAAUACUACGGUAAAUUCUUUUUUAUCUUAAACUCUCCAUAGCAUUUAAACCCGUCGAUCAACUCUUCUUUUUAAAUUAUUUUCUUCAGUUGGCUUCUGGGACAUAUCCCUUGGCUGGCUUCUGGUUUUUCUCCUAUAUCAUUUGCUACCACUUUUGCCCCCCACCCCCUUGCUAAUUCCUUCCCCAUCUUCCCAUCAUCUCAAGUUUCCUUCUUUGGUUAUUUUCUAUUUUCUAUUUGCUUUUACUCCUUAGGUGAUCACAUCUGGUCCCUUGUACAUAAAAACUACCUAUCUAGACACUACCACCCAGAAAUUUCUAAAUCUAGCCUCACUCCUCCUGUUAUAUGCCAUAUAUUUCUUUUAUCUAGAUACCUGUUAGAGGGCUCCGGUGGGAUGCCAGUAGGUAUCUAAACUACAAUAUAUCCUAAAUUAAAAAUUUUUUUUUCUUCCAAAAAUAUGUCCUUUUUCUAUUUUCUAAGUUCAAGUCUGUGCUCAGUGUAGAUAUGGAAUGUACAUACUCUGUAAUGUAUAUUAUGAAUACAUUCUCUGUAAUCAUUAUGAAGUAUUUCAUAAGUAUUUCUUCAAUAAACACUAGCAGACAGCCUGAGAGCUGCCCAGUCCUGGGCUCCUGAGCAAGGCACUAAGUAAACAAAAGCAAAUCAGACGUGAUACCUAACCUCAAGAGAGAGAGAGACAUAUCAUUUGUGCCAUCUGUGUAUAUAAAUUGUAUAUAUAAUCAGCUCUUCUCCUCUGCUUUAAGUUCCCUGACAUCAAGUAUAUUGUUAUGAUUCUUUGAGUUGAAAUAUGGGCUAGUUUGAGCAAGAAGCAGGAUUUGGUGUGUCUUACAGAAGUCAGAGUAGGCAGAGUAAUCAAACCACAUAAAGGCAGGGACCUCGACAGUAGCGACAGUAGCGUGUGUGGGAAGUUUUCUCUAGAAUGCUGUGAUAAUGAGACUGAGCUCCAAGUCUCAGGGGCACAUAAACAAAAGAAUCACAAAGGAGAGUCGUCCUGUGAGCCCCAGGCUCCUCAUUUGUAAAACAGAGAGGCUGAUAACACAGUGCCAUUUUGAGGAUUAAAGAACUUAAGAUGUAGGAAACACAGGGCAUGAUGUUUGGCCACGGAAAGAGCCAUUCCCUGGAUGCUUACUAUUUCAGUUUUUAUUAUCAUUAUCAUGUACUAUAACUCUUCAUCUUUUAAGUAGAUGAAAAUUAGAGCCUGGAGGAAAGCACCUUAAUGUCAUCCUGAAAGUGAGGCAGGCAUUGAAGUGGGACCAGAACACCGGCCACCAAAUUGCCAGCCCAGCAUUGUCCUGAUGGUAUCAUUGAACCACUUCAUAAGAUGGAGAUACUGAGGUCUAGACAAGUUAACUAAUUUGUCCAUGGUCACACUUCUGCUGGCAGCUGUGCUCCACGGUGACGCAGCCAUGCUGGACCAGUUCAGACUAAACACAUAUACAUCAUUGUCUUCAUGUGUGCUUCUAAUGUGUCCACAUCAAACUCUGGAGAGGACUCUUGGGGACAGUAAAUGGGGCUGAGACCACCUCGAAGUAAUUUUCAACGUGCGUACCUGUCAUCCUCCCGUCACUUCUCCUGGAGCAGCCUCAGGGCAAGCCCACCGGGGCAAUGAUUCCAUGUUUCCAUCCAACCGCUAAACUCAUCCUUCAUGACCUGGGCCCAGGCCAACUCACCAGAUCGAGCUCCUAAGAAGAGAGCAUAUUGUGUGGUUGACAGGAAUUCCACUGAGAAGAGCUGGUCACCUCUUGGCUUCUUUAAUUGUUCCUCAUAAGGAACAUUUACGAUAUCAUGACGGGUGUUUGGAGGGAUGUUCAGACAGUAAUUUACUUGGGGGUAGAAAAACCAACCUUAUAAACACUGAAAAGAAGACAAAGCAUAUCAAAGGUUGCAUUUUUCUCUUUCACUCAAUAUUGAACAAAUAUUUAUUAAAUAUCCACCAUGUGUCAGACAUUACUCUGUGCUCUGGAGGCUCAAGGAAAUGAGAAUCAAUUGUGCCUUCAUCAAAAUCCCAGCUAACCAGGCAGGCAGUGUGAUAAGCUCUCUGGUCAGCUAAGUACACAUGCAGACCAGAUUCCCACUGAGGACUUGGGAAGGUUCUCAAGCAAAUGGUAAUUCAGCCGAGACUUAAGGGAUCAUCUCAGAGUUACUCAUGAGAGAACAGGCAGCACACAUAUGGGAAAAGUGUGUUCCUAUUAGAAAAAGGUGUAUAAGAAAGCAUAGGGAUAAAAAAAAAAAAUAGCGCUGGUCAUUAAAAAUGACAAAUCAAGUGAUGGCAGCUGGAACACUGAGUGUGCAGAAAAGUGGCCAUGGGGAGGCUGCAUAAGUAGACAGGGAACCCCACAAUGAAGGGACUUAGAAGCAAUAUUGGGACAUUCAGACUUUUUCCUAAGAGCACAAAAGAGCCAGUAAAGCCCUUUAAGCAAGAUCCUAACCACAAAUCCUAAAUAAAAAUGCUUGUAGAAGGGUCAUAUCUGCCACAUUCAUUCGAUCAGAGUCUACCAAGUUCCAGACUCUAGGCUGGCCCUUGCAUGGACUGUACAUCAUCAACUGAAUCUAAGAAAACUUAAGAAAGCUCUCUUUCAGAGUUUGCCAAAGUCUGAAAAAAAGAGGGGAAACAGAAAGAAGAGUAGAUUAGUGUGAUGCUUAGUUUUAUGGGUCAAUAGGCUCAGAGGUGGUGCCCAGUGGUUUGGUCAAACUGUAGUUUAGAUGUUGCUAUGAAGGUCUUUUGUAGAUAUGAUAAACAUUUAUAAUCAGUUGACUUAAAUAAAGCACAUCAUCCUCUUUCGUGUAAGGGGCCUCAUCCAAUCAGCCAAGAGCCUGAGGUGCAAAAAUCAAGGUUUCCCAGAGAAACAGGAAUUCUGCCUCAAGACUAUAACAUGGAAACUCUGCCUGAAUUUCCAGUCGGCUGACCUGCCCUGAGGCUUUGAGACUCAAGACUGCUACAGCAACAUUUACGUGAAUGUCCAGCCUGCCAGCCCCAAUAAUCACUUACUUAAAAUUAAUCUCUAGAUAAAUUGACAGUAGAUAGAUAUAAGGAAAUGUAUACACACACACACAGUUGGUUCUAUAUCUGUAUCAUCAGAUCUCUGACUUCUAUAACCAGGAGUCUGAAAACCCACUCCAAUAUCCCCUCUCUAUCAUCUGACUUCUCUGAGCCCAUUGUCUCAUCAGCAUAAUAGAGACUAAUCACCCUCCUUUAGCACCAUGGCUGGCACAUAGUAGGUGCUUCAAAUCAUUUCUUUUCCCCUUUCCUUGAUUGAUUGAUAGGAUAGCUACAUAUCCAAUGAAGGGGCAUUUUUCUGCUGACACAGGCUGCACUUGAUGAAAUCUGAUCUAGAAUGGGAAAUACUAAACAAAAUAAAAAAGAAUUUACUCUCCGAGUAUUAUUGCCACUGUGAUGGAUGGCUGCUCCAAAGGCUAUUUCUCAAGAGUUCACAGUAGAGAAAAAUGUUCAGGCUUGAUUUUGUAUGCGUGUAGAAAAUAAAUUGUAUGACAAGGGUGGCGACAUUUGGACGGGGGAGAGGGCUUAGCCAAGGAAUUAAACAUGUCAGGAGCCUCCAAAGAAAAAGAAUGUUGAAAUGGAAGGUGAAAGGGGCAUAUUUGGAAAACUUGACAAGUGGCACAGUGGGAGGAAAGGUGGCAUUCUGGAAUGGGGUGUCAGCCACUCUCUGCCACUAAAGCCACGAUUUGCCCUUAAUAAUUCAGCGAGGUAGAAAGGAAAAAAUAUGAGCCCAACUUCUAAAGCUCUAUUAUCACAACUGGCUUAAAUUAUUUUCCCUUGCUUAAUUGACCACACAGCAAACAGAGAGAGAAUAAAAUCAGCCAGGGCUUUUUUUUUUUUUUUUUUUUUUUUCUUUUAAAUGGAAUCUUUGCCUAGGUAAUCUCUCAAGUUCCUGUCAACAAAACUCCCAACAUUAGAAAUAAACGAGACCCUGGGAGACAAAAUAACUGGAAUAAUGUCACACAGAACAUAAGUAGAAAACCCAAGUAGAAAACCCAGGCCUGGGAGCUCCCAACCUCAGGGCUUUGCAAGGAAUGAAGAGUAUUAUCCUGGCAAGGAUGGCACACAGGUUGCAGUCAGCACACCAACUUUAAUUGAUUAACUGUGCUGGGUUGAGGUGUGUGAGAGCAAAUGCAGGUUCACCAUGAAAGCAGGGCUUAAUUGAUUAGUGAUAUCUGUCGUGGGAGCCAGAGGUUCUCCAGGCAGGCCAAAUAUUUGUCAUUCCUUAUCUGGUCUAACUUUUUCUUUUUUCCCCUGUAUUACAGGUCUGCAAAAUAUAGCUGGUGGGCCAAAUUGGGCCUACUGCCUGUUUUUAUAAAUAAAAUUUUACUAG